rnacentral:rRNA from 1 species
UACGUAGGGUGCAAGCGUUACUCGGAAUUACUGGGCGUAAAGCGUGCGUAGGUGGUUUGUUAAGUCUGUUGUGAAAGCCCCGGGCUCAACCUGGGAAUGGCAAUGGAUACUGGCAAGCUAGAGUGCGGUAGAGGGUAGUGGAAUUCCCGGUGUAGCGGUGAAAUGCGUAGAGAUCGGGAGGAACACCAGUGGCGAAGGCGGCUACCUGGACCAGCACUGACACUGAGGCACGAAAGCGUGGGGAGCAAACAGG